CUUAAAUUCAAUUUGUUAGAAUCAAACACAAUUUAUUUGUAAUAAUCAAAACAAGAAGUCAACCAUUAGGUCAACAGUUUUCGUAUUUUGAAUAAUACUUGCUCAAAUCAAUAUCUAAAUUUUUUUACAUAUCAUGGAAGGUCAACAAAGAUGUGCAAAAUGAAUAUUAAAGUAGCUUUAUUCUCUCAUAUAUAAUCAGAUUGACCCAAUACUCCACACAUGCAUACUGAAUUUUCGUCUCCUCUUCGCUAAUAAGUAAUUUUGUUCGGUGUUUGAUUCCUACAUUUUGCUAACAUGUAAUUUACUUGUAAUAUCUUUGUUAGUCACAAGUACACUAAGCUUUGUCCAUAGCUACUUGAGUUGCAGUAUUAUGAAUCUUCACACAUUUGACAAAAUUGGCUCUGAGAAGGCAUUGCAGAAGAAAUAAAAUUGUACGGCUUUCUUAUGGUUUCACCUCCCAAACCAACAAAAACGUGCCUCUUAUCUCUCUCCCUCUCUCGGAAAAAGGAUGUGAACGAAUACCAUGUAUUUUUAAUAAGUUUCAUAUUACAUUUUUUCUUUAAAAAAUGAUUUUUUUGUUAGUGAAAAUAUUGAGCAAAGCUUUGAUGUGUUUAUUAAAGAAAGCUUGUAUUAUUUGCUCCAAAUUGUUGCUGCCAUAGUCAUUCUGACCUUAUAAGGUCAUUAUGUCCCGUUAACUAUUGCCUAUGUCAUAAUGGUGUUCUUGCUUUUGUUUUCUUGUUUGCUUAUUCAUCUUUCUUUGAGGCUGAUAGGAGGGUUCACUGUCCUUGUUAUGGGGCGUUUAGCUCAUCCAACCCAUUCUUACGAUGCUUGAUUCCCACAUACAUGGAAUGGCUACCUGUCUACAGAACAAUAAUUAUUUUUAUCCAUAUAAAAAUGUACCCUAAAUGGAUCACAUUUCUUAUACAAUGAGAGAAGCUCUCAUAUAGAGGUAUUGAGUCUUAUUGAAUAAAUUUGGCAAAACCAACAACAC
rnacentral:lncRNA from 1 species